ensembl:lncRNA
CCUAAAAUGGCUUACUGAGGAGGUGGCUAUUCUUGCAAUUUCGCUUUCUGGAGGUCUUUGCUACUCAAAAUGUGGUCUGUGGACCAGCAGCAUCAGCAUCACCUGGGAGCUUGAUAGUGCAGAAUCUCAGGUCCUAUUUGGACCUGCUGAGUUGGAAUCUACAUUUUAUCAAAACCCCAUGAAUAUUCAUAUGCAAGAUUACUAUUUGAGAAGCACAGGUAUAGAACAUUCUAGGCUCUGAUUAUUCCUCUGUUUUCCUUUUUGCCCUACUCCACUAAAUAGCAUUAUAUUAUCCAAAGUAUGAUAUUAUUCAAAUCUUCAUAAAAAACAACCCUGAAUCUCAGGGGCUUAACAAAAUGAGCCUAUCUUUCACCUCUUAUUCCUUUGAGGGCUAGAAUAGGGGGGCAGUCUUUCCCAGGCAGUCAUUUGAGGGCCAGUCAUUCCAUAUAGUAGCUUUUCUAUCCUUGGGGGCUUCAUAGUUAUUCAAUAGACCCAUUAUUCUGAGCUUUCAAUGAAGGAAAAGCCAGAAUAUGGAGUAAUAUGCAGGAUGUUUUAUGGGCCAGGUAUGGAGGCCAGUACACCACUUCUACCUGCAUCUCAUUGGUCAAAGCUCAAUCACAUGGCCACAUCUAGCUGCAAGAGAGGCUGAGAAAUGUCAUCUAUCUUUUUGCAUAGAGAGAAGAGUAAAUGGUUGAUAAACAUUUAAUCAGUCCCUGAUUCACUUACCUGUCCUCCAGGAUCCAACUAAAGCCCUACCUCUUUCUGAAAUGCUUCAGGCUAGAGGUUGUCUUCUUCUCAAUUCCUACAGCACUUACUAUUCAGUCUUUUCAUUUAUGUCUUCCAUAAAUAUCCUUGUAUUUAUCUAUUCAUUGAUGUAUGUCUUAUCUUUCACUAGAAUUUAUAAGACCUCAAAAGGCAAUGGUCACAUCCUUCAACAUUUUUUCAAAAACUCUGCAGAGCCGAGAUUACUUUUAUGCAUGUCAUGAGCAUAUUAACUUUUUUUUUUUUUUUUUGAGGAACUAGUAACUACUUUUUGAGCUAACUACUGCCAGUCCUCCUCUUUUUGCUGAGGAAGCCUGGCCCCAAGAUAGCAUUGUGCCCAUCUUCCUCUACUUUAUAUGUGGGAUGCCUACCACAGCAUGGCAUGGCAAGCGGUGCCAUGUCCGCACCUGGGAUCCGAACCAGCGAACCCCAGGCCACCGAGAAGCGGAACGUGUGAACUUAACCUCUGUGCCAUGGGGCCGGCCCCGUAUUAACAUUUUUUGAUCAAGUUAAUGAAUACUUGGGGACAAUAUCGUGAUUCUUCUUAUAUCAGUAUUUAGGAGAAUAUCUUGUGACUCUUUUCCAUGUCUGGUUUCUGUGAUUAACCCUCAGAUUCCAUUAGAAAUGAUCCUUCUAAUCUCCUGUCACCUUUUUGCGUAUGUCAUCAGUUUUUCUUGUCUUAAUGCAUCCUAACAGCAGUGCAUCCAUUCGGGCAUGACAUGGGCCACUGAAUAUGUCCUUCUGCCCAUGUCAUGUUAGAAGAAAUCAAAGUCUUCAAAUGGAGAAGUAAUUCGCCUGAAAUCACAUAACCGGUGGGCACAGAGAAGGCAAAGUUUGGACUUGAGUCAGUUUUAUGACUCCAAAUCCUUGUUAAAACUGUCCUCCACAGCUUCUUCUAGAGAUAGGUGCAUUCUCUUCGGAUACCUCAAAAUGUGAUUGACCCUUGACAACAUUAUGAGGAGAAUUAAGUAUAAUUUGUAGAUGGCUGUUUUUCGUUUUUCAGUCUCCAUUUUGCCAGUGUUGUCAAAGGGAAUGAAGGUUUGUUUUGUCAGACCUUUCAAUUUUUCAAAGAGCUUGGAAUUUUUGUACAAAAUAAGUUUUCUGGCCAAAUCUAACCUAGAAUAGCCAGUUUUUAAACUAAAAUACAAGGAC